AUUGAACGCUGGCGGCAUGCCUUACACAUGCAAGUCGAACGGCAGCACGGGGCAACCUGGUGGCGAGUGGCGAACGGGUGAGUAAUGCAUCGGAACGUGCCAUUGAGUGGGGAUAACGUAGCGAAAGUUGCGCUAAAUACCGGCAUAUUCUGUGAGCAGGAAAGCAGGGGACCGCAAGGCCUUGCGCUCUUUGAGCGGCCGAUGUCAGAUUAGCUAGUUGGUGAGGUAACGGCUUACCAAGGCGACGAUCUGUAGCGGGUCUGAGAGGAUGAUCCGCCACACUGGAACUGAGACACGGUCCAGACUCCUACGGGAGGCAGCAGUGGGGAAUUUUGGACAAUCGGGCGCAAGGCCUGAUCCA
rnacentral:rRNA from 1 species